GCUAGCGGCGGGCUUAACACAUGCAAGUCGAGCGCCUUAGCCUCUUCGGAGGCGGGAGCGGCGAACGGGUGAGUAACACGUGGGUUACCUACCCUCUGGUGGGGGAUAACCAAGGGAAACUUUGGCUAAUACCGCAUAUGCCCUACGGGGCAAAGUCUUCGGACGCCAGGGGACGGGCCCGCGGCCCAUUAUUUAAUCCUUGUUGGUGGGGUAACGGCCUACCAAGGGUACGAUGGGUAGCUGGUCUGAGAGGACGAUCAGCCACACUGGAACUGAGACACGGUCCAGACUCCUACGGGAGGCAGCAGUGGGGAAUAUUGCGCAAUGGGCGGAAGCCUGACGCAGCCACGCCGCGUGUGUGAUGAAGGCCUUCGGGUUGUAAAGCACUGUCGGGAGGGAAGAA
rnacentral:rRNA from 1 species